rnacentral:rRNA from 1 species
AUUGAACGCUGGCGGCAGGCCUAACACAUGCAAGUCGAACGAGUGGCGGACGGGUGAGUAAUGUCUGGGAAACUGCCCGAUGGAGGGGGAUAACUACUGGAAACGGUAGCUAAUACCGCAUCCCAUCGGAUGUGCCCAGAUGGGAUGAGCUUGUAGGUGAGGUAACGGCUCAACUAGGCGACGAUCCCUAGCUGGUCUGAGAGGAUGACCAGCCACACGGGGACUGAGACACGGUCCAGACGCCUACGGGAGGCAGCAGUGGGGAAUAUUGCAAAAUGGGCGAAAGCCUGAUGGAGCCAUGCCGCGUGUAUGAAGAAGGCUUUCGGGUUGUAAAGUACUUUCAGCGGGGAGGCGUUACCUGAAGAAGAAGCACCGGCUAACUCCGUGCCAGCAGCCGCGGUAAUUC